ensembl:lncRNA
GUGUAGGUGCAGGUGGAGCAGGUGAGGGGUUCCUGAGCUGGUCUGGACUCUGGGGGGUCCACAGCUCUCUGGGACUCAGAUGGAAGUGUGAAAGAGCUCAGCAAUAAUAAAAACAAGGUGGAGAAGGAAAAUAUGAAUGUGUAAUUCUUUUUGAGCCCAUUUUAACUUGUUUUGAACAAGAAGCUUUUUAAUGGUUCAGCAAACCUCUCAAGGAAAUAUUGAAUAUGCGUUACUUGUGUUUUUAUUCAACAACUGUACAUGUUUAAACAGGCCAUCAAAUAAAGAUGCUUUCAACACGCUGUAUUAUUUCUUUUGACAUGAAAUACUCUGAUCCUUUUUAAAGAUGCUGUACUAUUGACUUUUGUACCAUUUCCUCUAUAAUAACUGUAUUUAUUCUACAGCCCUAUUGCUGUGUCAAUAGCACAGAGCAAACAUUGGUGGUGCAGCAUGUUGAAGAAG